rnacentral:rRNA from 1 species
CACGUAGGGCGCAAGCGUUGUCCGGAAUUAUUGGGCGUAAAGAGCUCGUAGGCGGUCUGUUGCGUCUGCUGUGAAAACUCGGGGCUUAACCCCGAGCCUGCAGUGGAUACGGGCAGGCUAGAGGUAGGUAGGGGAGAAUGGAAUUCCCGGUGUAGCGGUGAAAUGCGCAGAUAUCGGGAGGAACACCGGUGGCGAAGGCGGUUCUCUGGGCCGGACCUGACGCUGAGGAGCGAAAGCGUGGGGAGCGAACAGG